AGGGUGCAUUCGAUAUAUGUACACAGAGAGAGAGGGGGAGAGAGAGAGAGAGAGAGGGGGAGCGGAGGAGCAAAAUGCGGUGGCCGUGGGAUAAGUUACAGCAGCUACAACGGCGGGAGAACCGGGGGAGGGUUUGGGCGGCGGCCAUCCUGCUAUGGCUGUUGCUGAUGCUGGCCACGCCCAGGAUCCCCCGCACCCCUUCCCUUCACCUCUUCGCGGACAUGCGGAACUUCCUGGGUGUUCCGAAUACGUUGAAUGUUCUUACGAGUUUUCCCCUUUUGCUCGUCGGAGUCCCGGCGCUUGUUCUCUGCCUCUCCGGGUGUUGCUUCGGCAUAAGCAUGCGGGGAGAAAUUUGGGGAUGGGUGUUGUUCUAUGCCGGAACGGCCGCAGCGGCGUUUGGGUCGGCUUAUUAUCAUCUGAAACCUGACGACGAUAGCGUGGUCUGGGACAAAUUGCCGACAAUGACUUCAGCUGCUUCACUGCUAUCGAUAUUAGUAAUAGAGAGAAUAGAUGAGAGGAUUGGAAUGGCUUGUUUGUUCUCCCUCAUGACAUUUGUUCUUGUCAGCAUUGGAUGUGAGAGGACAUUCAAUGAUUUGCGACUAUGCAUGAUGUUCCACAUUGUUCCGUGCAUUGCAAUUCCUGCUUUGCUCUUCUUGUUUCCGCCUAAGUACACCCAUUCAAGAUUUUGGAUAUGUGCAACUGUUGCAGUAAUAACAUAUCAGGAUCCUUUAGGACUUAAGCUGCCAUUUAAUCCAACCAGGAUUUUACCUCCUAGCCAGAUUUCUAUCGGUAGCCGAUAAGAAGGUUUACAGUUCAAGUCAUUACAUAAUAAGCGGGCACGCAUUGGAGCAUCUAUGCUUGGCAGUAGUUCCUAUCAUACUCACACUGAUGCUUUGGCUAAGAAAUAUAAAGAUUGCCAGGGAUUCGUAGUCGACUAGAAAGAAGACUAGAAUCAUCAAACCGACUAUGAUCAAAUUUGGAGAAGAAAGAAGUUAGCCAAUUGCUCCAACAAACUGAGAUGCUAACUGGAAGUAAAUACAAGCCAUAGUUGAAAGUAGCUACUGAAUUCAUCUUUUUUUUAGUUUCUUAGAAUUCGAAAAUAGCGAAUAUGACUGAUGUUUGAGAAUUUGAAUUAAUACCAAGUUCUUCAGCUAA